rnacentral:rRNA from 1 species
UACAGAGGGUGCAAGCGUUGUUCGGAAUUAUUGGGCGUAAAGCGCGUGUAGGCGGCUUUGCAAGUCGGGUGUGAAAGCCCUCAGCUCAACUGAGGAAGUGCGCCCGAAACUGCAGAGCUUGAGUGCCGGAGAGGGUGGCGGAAUUCCCCAAGUAGGGUGAAGUAGUAGAUAUGGGGAGGAACACCGGUGGCGAAGGCGGCCACCUGGACGAUAACUGACGCUGAGACGCGAAAGCGUGGGGAGCAAACAGG